rnacentral:lncRNA from 1 species
CCCUUAUCUUUGUCUACCUUGUCUUCCCUUCCCAACCAGAAUGCAGGUAGAGCCAUGUCUGAUGCAUCGCUGAGUCCUGAGAGUACAGAACAGGCCUGCACAUAGAGACAGACAUUCAGCACUGGUUUCUGAUUGAGGUUCCAUGAACAUGACUGCUGUUCACCAGGGGCCCCACUUUGCCGUGCUGCUUCUUCCAACAGCAACACCUCUGACACCCAGCCUACCUCCACCUCCAUACCCACCUCUGCCUGGCAACCUGGAGCCCACUAGCCCUUCUUUUACUUGGCCUCACCUGGGGAUUUCUCUUCUGGGGGCAGCAUGGAGAAUGUCUCACCCCUCAACAUAUAGAAGUUGGCCUCAAAGCCCCUUCCCAGCACCAUAUGGCUCCUGGGUCACAGCGGUGGUGCCAAGCAUCUUGGCAGGAUCCCAAGGUGUGGCAUGCAGCCUGGAGACACAAGGAUGAAAUGAGGCUAUUGCCAUGGCAAAACUGCAGGCUCCGGAGGUUCUUCUUUCCUAAUGUCACAUUUGGACACCUGGCUAUUGCUCUCC